CAGUCGCCACGGGAAUACAGAGGGUGCGGGCGUUAAUCGGAUUUACUGGGCGUAAAGCGUGCGUAGGCGGCUUCUUAAGUCGGAUGUGAAAUCCCUGAGCUUAACUUAGGAAUUGCAUUCGAUACUGGGAAGCUAGAGUAUGGGAGAGGAUGGUAGAAUUCCAGGUGUAGCGGUGAAAUGCGUAGAGAUCUGGAGGAAUACCGAUGGCGAAGGCAGCCAUCUGGCCUAAUACUGACGCUGAGGUACGAAAGCAUGGGGAGCAAACAGGAUUAGAUACCCGGGUAGUCCCUGUCUCUUAUAC
rnacentral:rRNA from 1 species